AAGACGCCCACCGAUCUUCACUGGGACUACAAUUCAAAGCAAAUUGCAGCUCACAGCCUACCGAGCCCGGAAUAGCAUCGAACUAAUCCCACCGCCCCAAGGGCAUCCUCGGGAGCGUUACCAUUCCUGCGCACCCGGAUGCUCUGCGGUUGCCAACUGCGCCUAAAUUUUGCACAUGAUCCUCUGGCUCCAACUUCAGCGGGCCUCUUCCAAGAGAACAGCGGUGCUGAACCGGGUGAACUUUCCGAACCAAAGCCCGGCUCUGGAGGAAAAGGGAAAUUCCACCGUAUCUUCUUGAUGAAAAGGAUUUGCAUAUUUUGAGUGAAACUAAAACAACUAAAACUAUUUAUAAACUGACAGUUCUUAUCUGAAAAGAGAGAAACUAAGGAUGGAAAUCCUUGUGGAAUCAGCUGGCAACAAGCUAUUCCAGGCUUAAACAAGGCUGUUUUGCACGAGUGGGAAAUAGAAGUCAUCCUUCCAGAGAAGAAACAGCAUCCUACCCUCCCACCAAAACUGAGAGGGCGAAGAAUCUGCAAUUACCUUGGGAAACAAAAAGGGUUGCACAGUCCCACCUGUUUUUACCUCCAGUAGGUGGGCUGGAGGAGGGAUGCAUUGUUGGAAAAGAGCUGAAACAGAGAGCAUGCUUGAAGUCUGGGAAAAGCACAGAGUACAGGUUAGAAUGCUGCUCUUAUUCAGUACUGACCUCCAGUGCCUCAGCAUAUACUGCAUAUAAAAUAUUUUCCUGUACCAUUUAGGACAAAGCCACUUAAGUGAACACUUAAACAAUAGUCAAUACUAUUAGGUUUUAACCUUAGGUUUCAAUCAAAUUAUGCCAAGAGUGCAAUCUGUACUGCUUUUCAAUCAAUGGAAAGACUAUUGAUCUUAAUAGUUUAGUGAAGCCUACUGAAAAUGAAGAUCUGAAAGACACAAGCUGUGAACCUUAUGAUACAACUAAGCACUUAUUUACUUGCCAGCAAUAUUAGUUUUCUGUCAACCCUAGGCUAGCAUUAGGCCCCAAAACAACAGGAAUACACAAUAGUUUAAUUGUUGUUUUACAUAUGUAUCUGUGGUAGAAGGAGACAUUUGCAUUUAAUUUUGCUUGAGCAAUUUUCUUCAUUCUGUCUUAAUUAACUAGAAAUCAAGAAUGUGUGGGCACAUUAAUUCAUUUGCAGCACAAAAAUGUAGUUUCUCUCAGUCUGGAAUUAGCCAUGCUUGUCCUCCACAUGCUUUUAAUCUAGAUUGAUUUCAGAUCUUGAUGUCCAAAGAGGGUACAUGAUAUGUGUUUGAAAACCUUCACCUUGAAGUGGUGAUUGCGAUCUUGCUAUACGCAACCUACAGCGUUGGGCAUCUGUGGACACACACACCUAUUGUCAAGACUCAAGACCACCUACAUCUAUUUUGAUCUUGUUUCAAAUGGACACUCUUUGAGGUAAUGCAGAAUAAAUCUGCAGUGAGCUUUUAUUUUCAGAAAUAAACUGGUUUCUCAAGAAGUGCUUUUCAAGGGCAAAAAAAUCUAGAUUGUGUGUGGACUAUGUAGAAAAACCAAAUGCUUAGUCUCCACUGAUUCUAGAAUAAAAUGCCACAUGUACACAGCCUGAGUCCAUGGACCACACUUUUGAAAGAUGCAUUACCAAAAGGCCAAUAUUAAAGCUUUUUAGGGGCUAACUAGACAUUAUGCAGACAUCUGGCUGCUGCCAGUCCACAUGUCUCUUCCCAAUAAACUCUCUUUAGCAAAAGAAAACACAUGAAAAGGCAUUGGCUCAGCAGGCCUCUAUCCCUGUUCCCAUUCAUUGGCUGGUACUUGCAGAGAAUGGGGAAAUGCUGAACAGGACAGUCAUGUAUUUCUUUUACUAGACAUUACCAUGGACACCAACCGGAGAGAUGCAGUUCAGCAGCAGUCACACAACCCCAUAAACACCUGGUUAUAAUGCACAUAUGUAUAUUAAUCUAAUAGCGUAUUUUCCUUGAAAUGAGAUCUGAGUAAUCGUGUAGUAUCAGACUGCAUGUUUCAUGGUAGAAGCUUGUAAUAUUUAACUGCACUUUGCUCAGCAAGUAGAUAUUUGUUAGGUUUGCCAUGCUAUUCAACUAUUGGCUGCUUAAGUCUCAUUGACUUCAACAGGAUUUGCCGAACACUGUGCACAAACUUGAGACAUUAUUGCAGAUUGCAGCUUGUUUAGAUUUGUUAAAUUCCAUGGAUUGAAACAAUCUUUUUUCUUUUAUAAAUUGAAAUUGGAAAUUUGGGUAGUAGAUACAGAAGUUUUUUUAAAAAAUCAGGAAACCUACUUU